UACGAAGGGUGCAAACGUUUGCUCGGAAUUAUUGGGCGUAAAGCGCACGUAGGCGGCUUUGCAAGUCGGAUGUGAAAGCCUUUGGCUUAACCAAAGAAGUGCAUCCGAAACUGCAGAGCUUGAGUACUUAAGAGGAUCGCGGAAUUCCCGGUGUAGAGGUGAAAUUCGUAGAUAUCGGGAGGAACACCAGUGGCGAAGGCGGCGAUCUGGGAAGAUACUGACGCUGAGGUGCGAAAGCGUGGGGAGCAAACAGG
rnacentral:rRNA from 1 species